GACUAAGCAUCUCUGCUUGCUGGAGGGAUGCAGUGUAGUGCUCUGCAGUAGGUGAUGAGGGUCUCCUGCUCCAGCAGUUGUGUCCAAACACUCUGCUCUGGGGUUUGCUGGAGAUGGGAAAGGAAAGACUGGAGCAAAUCCCGAGUCAUCCCGAUCCAGCAGGUUUUUACAGGGUCAUGUUUGCCUCGGGGCCACUCCUGUGUCCCCACACUGAGCCUGCCAACAGUUGAAAAUGUGCUGCUCCAACAGCUGUGCUUGUUGGUCUGGUUCAAGGGGACUGAGUGUUUCAGCCUCCAAGGAAUCCCAAGGAGCCAGGCUGGAGCAGCAGUGAACAUGCCCAACUUAGUACUCAGGCCCUGGCAGCAGCUUGGAGGGCACAGCCCUGGUACUGCUGAACAGCAGAGGGGUGGGAAGCAGGAGAAGGGGGGUCUUAACCUGCAAGUAGCAGCAGCAGCAGAGAAAGUCGGGGUAUUUGGUCUUCAUGCAGCAUUUGCUAAUCCCAGAGGGCUUGGAAUGAGUUAAAACUAGCUAAAGUUAUUUUCAGUUGGUGUCAUGGCAUGAGGGCACCUUGGGUGGUGUUUGUACCCACGGUGACUGUUGUUGUGUGACCCAUCUGGUCCCUGCAGGGAGAGUGGGAGCUGUUGGUGUUGAGGUUGGGUGUGAUGUCUGCACCUUUUCCACUGACUUGUUGCUUAGUGUUCUUGGUAGACAUGUAGGGAAUGUAUUUCCUCGUGGGUUUUUUUACUUGACCCUUCUAAAUCUGUGUGAGGAAGGCUGUUGUCUGGAGGGGGCAGCUGAUGAGAGGCUGUUGUGAAGGCCCUGAGUGAUCACUCUGGAAUUUUUUGAGCAGCCCUCGAUGGCUCUCAGCAAUGCUGUGUCAAAAGCUGGCUGUGUCAGUGUCUGUCCAAAAAUGGAACAGAUGGGGUUAAUGAAGUCAAGGAUUAGGUCCCUAAUCUGUGCCAGGACUGCUAGAAAUGUAGGGGUUUUUUUUGUCACAUGCUAGAAAAAGCAACAAAGGACAAGCAUGAGGAUUUUCACCUCUCUCAGAAACCUUCUCUCAACUAUGCUUCCCUGGCUUUCCUUUCAGCUGAUGCAGUGAACCCAAGGAUCAGGUGAUGACUUAGAAAAAUGGUCCCAUUCUCCUGGAAAUGAAGAGCUCAGGUGCUGGUAAAACUGUUGGCUGGCUUUUUUUUUUUUUUCUUUAUGGUUUUACAGUUCCAGAGUGAGGUUUCUCUUUCCAGACUCAGGUUUAACUCUUGGCCAGGUGUUCUCACCCCUGCCCAGUGCCCUGCCUGGGGUCUGUGUCAGGGGCAGGUUGUGCAGGGUGCCUUUAACUUUGCAUCCCUCUCAGGAGGGUGGGAGUUGGGUGUCUAAUUGCUCCCAGGCUGAGCCCUGAGAAGCUGAUGAGUACAAGAAACAGCUGUAUUGGCUUCCUGGGUUGGAAUGAGCUGUGGGGUGGUUUGAAAACUAAAGCAUUGAAGAGUUCUGGUUAUUUCAGUACUCAUCUACUUUUGUGUGUGUGUGUGUGCAGUGAAACUGGACUCAACCCAUUUUUUUCCAGGCUCCUACUUGAAAGUACUGUCUAAGCUGUGGGCAAGGAUGGGAAAAGGUGACCAAGGUCCAUGUGCUGGUUGGUGUCAGAGCCUUUAUGAAGAGCUUGUCAGAUCAGGACAGUGGUGAUGGGAGAAAACACUCCUGCCUGGACCAGCAGUGACCUCUUGUGGGUAGAGAGGCUGCUGGGGGUGCUGGGAGCUGCCACUUGCAGUCAGGGGGUGUUAUCCUAUCUGUGGCCCUAAAGUGGAUGUGGUGAAGGGAACUCAGAUUCUUUCUUGGCUUAAAUGUCAGAAACAAACAGCUGUAAGUGGUGCAAAGUCUCUUUUCUUCCUCACACGUGUGUGCUCUGGGCUGGGCUGGGAAAUGGUGUCUUGAUGGUUCAGGAGAAGCUCAGGCUCCUCUCCCUGGUGAGCCCAGAGUUGGCCUUUGAGCAUUUCAGGGGAGUAAAACAGAGCAAGAGCAGAACUUCUGCUCACGUGCUUUUUCCGUGGAGUGUCUUUAUCUCUGAUAAAAGCUGUCUCACUGAUCCUGCACUAAAUCCAGGAGAUUUCCCAGUGCUGUGAAAGCAGGCCUUUGUCUGUGAUGUGCAGGGGUGCUGUGGGGUCUCAGCUCCUAAUAAUCACUUAAAAGUCCUAAGGCAUAUGACCAGGUUCCCAGUUAAUGGGGAACUGUCUCAGCCCAGCUUCCUACCAGCUGCAGGGGCAGAGCAAAAACUUCUCGUCGAAGCUGGUUUAAAAAAAAAAAGUAAUAAAAAUUUAAAGGUUAUGUCAGUACAUUUUGUCUCACAGUGGAGGUAAAUUUAUGCAGUUACAGCUCAACCAGUGCCUCAUAAGAUGCAGAGUGUAGCCUGUGUGUCAGAAAGCUCUUUGAGUGGCUGGUGAGAUGAAUUCAAGUCAGGAAAAAAGAUUUUUUUUUUGUCUUUUCACCAAAGACCAGGUUGCUUCACCUCCCUGUGCCUUAAAAACCAUCUGAAAGCAAAGUUCUCAAAGGAGAUUUUUCAUUGUGUCUGUUGCUUUAUUACAAGCUACUUGCUUGGAUUUUUUUCUACUUCUGAGCUACAGACAAUGCUGCCUUUGAGUUGACAUGUGUCUUUGGGCAGUUUCCAAAUAUUUCUGUUCUGGACAACUGCAGAUUCCUUGGGAGGGAAGGUAGGAACGUGUGUUUGGGCAGAGACAGCUGCACUGCUCCCCUGCAGCUGGAAGGUAACAUCAAAAUGCCAGGAAUGCCACAGAGAUGCUGGAUGGCUUGGAUGUGGAGAUGCCAAGAAAAUGAAAGGUGCUGGGAAUCCUUAGUAAGAAGUUAUUUGCCUUUUAUUACUCAGUUUUAAAGCACAAACUCUUUGUGGGUGCCCUGCUGCUGAGUGGUGAUUUCUGUGUGUAAACUUACCAUAUUCCUAUUUUAGAGAACAGGGGGAGACCCAGCAGAAAAUCCUCUGCCCAUCCUAUUUCUGAUUGCUAAGACAAAGAUACAUUUGUUUAUUUCUGCAACAUCUGACGACCCAACAGACUGUUUUUUAAAAGAGAGGAGAAGGGAGUAUCUGAAUUACAGCCCCAGGGAAAUGCAAAUUCUGGAUUUAUUUUGAUUCACUCUCUGGCAAGGCCUAAUUAAGCUGUGUUAUGGAGCCACAUCCAACACUCAAAAGCAACACUCAAAAGCCAGCGUGUUUGAUAAUGUGGUUUGUCUGGAUGUUUGUGAUAGUCAGGGGAGUGUCUUGUGCUAUAAAAAUUGGGGAAAGGGGAAACCAAACAACAAGGAAGAAGCCAAGAAUGUGUAAGAACAACAACUGGGAAUGCAGCCUUGACAAAGCUUUGUCUCGUGGGUUUUUUUGGGUGGGUCAGAUGGUAGCUAAAGAAAGGCUGGAAUAAUGAUAAGUUAAAAAAAGCUAUUAGUGUCAAACUGUGUUCAGGGGAAAUGCAAGUUGCUGCAACUUCCUUUUCCUAUGAAGAACAUGCAGAGGGCAUCAGGCUCCAAAAUAAACUCCUAAAAGUGAAAGCCUGCUCGGCUGAAGUUUAACUGAGUGGUAAUAAAGGGCAAAAAAAGGUAAGUUGAAAGACAAUCUUGUUUCCAGAGGAAGGAAUUUUAAACAGAACAACUGACUGAUGCCCUGAGGUGACCAAGGAGCAGCACACCAGGCCUGGAUGUAGCUGGGGACUUAGUGAAGAGAGUUUUAAGAGGCUCUGAAGUUCUAUCCAGAAGCUUCUCGGAAAGGUGUUGGUGUACCUUGUCCCUGGAGGUGCCUCUGGAGCAGCAGGAUUGUCUUUGGGUGGCACAGGGAAGGCAAGUGUCAGAUGGUCUAUUUGUGAGGUGCUCUGUGGUCCUGACCCUCGUGCCCCCCUUUUUUGUACUGUGGCAAAACUGAUUUAAAUCAACCUGAUAAAAAGCUCUAAAGGCUUCAUUCAGCACUGGCACCCAACCCAAGGCAGGCAGGGCUGGGUGUUACCCAGAAGCUCUUUGUGAACUGGCAGAGUGGGUGUGAAGGCUCAUCCUGCCAAACUGAUGUGUCCCCCAGGACUUCCAGGAUUCAUUAGAAAAUUGGAUUUGAACUUGCAUGUCAAAACCAGAUGAAGGUAAUAAAAAACUUAAGGAGGCAGUGGAGCUGCAGGUUUGAGUGCAGCUGUGCAGCAGAGCAGGGGAAGAAGAAAUUGCUGCAGUGGAAAAACCCGCUCUUGGAAAAACAUGUAAGCAGUGGUGGCCCUCUUAUACAUCUGAGGGGAGUGUGGGGUUAAUUUUUAAGAAGUGGAAUUAUGUAUUUUCCAGUAAAAUUUUAAUGGUGCAAAAGCAUAUUAGUUACCCUGAAAAAGUUACUGGAUUGUAAAACGGUGUGUUUUAAAUACAAAACUGGUCGAAAGGAGUGAUUUAAAAUGUUGAGAACUCUUGAUUUGGAAGAUGGGAAUGUAAAACUGAAAGGACACCGUGGCCAAAAGUGACAUGAAGACAUGAAAUCGUUUGUGGGUUUUUUAAGGUGUUUCCAUCAGGUGUGUUUUCUGGGGUGUGUUAGGUGGCUUCGGGGUGCUGGGAGAAGCUUGAGUGGGGACAGCUGGUUUUACAGGUCCCAGUAAACCCUGUUAAAGACUGAGUUCAGCAGGGAUCCUUCACGGCUGGGAAAUGAUUAAACUGUUUGAGAGAACAAGACACCUGAGACAGCAACGCCCUUUGAAAAUGGAGCACAUCUACAUCAAAGGUGUAAAGCACGAGCUGUCUGUGUGGAAGCCAGUGAAGGAUCAGGCAAACAAGGACAUGCUUUCAACCUGUUGCAGGAUGGAGCAGGAUGCUGCGAAUUAGUGCUGGAAUGUGGAAGGUGGAGUGUGCCCCCGAGUGUUCGUAUAUCUGCGCAAACACCGAGAGAUCUGGCUCAGAAGGGGGCAGGCGAACUGUGCGCUGUCCUGGCGGAAGAAGGUCCCGACAGCAAAAGUAAGGAGUCAACAGUAAAGAUAAGGAAACGAGAGUAGAACAGGCGUUUGUUUCUGACCCGUCCUGUCGCGGCGGGGUUUUUUAAUUUGGAGAACGGAGGGUUUUCUGUGCCGCGGGGCCGCAGCCGCUUCGCUCCCAGCGCUCCGCCGUGCGCGGCUCCCGGCGCCGUCC